NCUGGCGGCCGUAGCGCGGUGGUCCCACCUGACCCCAUGCCGAACUCAGAAGUGAAACGCCGUAGCGCCGAUGGUAGUGUGGGGUUUCCCCAUGCGAGAGUAGGGAACUGCCAGGC
rnacentral:rRNA from 1 species